rnacentral:Y_RNA from 1 species
GGCUGGUCCAAGGUAGUAGUUGUCUCUACUGUUCAGUCAGUUACAGAUUGAACACCUUCUACUCUUUACCCCCUUCUCACUACUGCACUUGACUAGUCUAAA